UACGUAGGUGGCAAGCGUUGUCCGGAUUUACUGGGCGUAAAGGGCGCGUAGGCGGCCUUGUAAGUCCUGUGUGAAAUCCCCCGGCUCAACUGGGGAACUGCACAGGAGACUGCUUGGCUUGAGUUCGGGAGAGGGAAGCGGAAUUCCGGGUGUAGCGGUGAAAUGCGUAGAUAUCCGGAGGAACACCGGUGGCGAAGGCGGCUUCCUGGACCGACACUGACGCUGAGGCGCGAAAGCCAGGGAAGCAAACGGG
rnacentral:rRNA from 1 species